rnacentral:rRNA from 2 species
CCUACGGGAGGCAGCAGUAAGGAAUAUUGGUCAAUGGACGCAAGUCUGAACCAGCCACGCCGCGUGCAGGAAGACGGCCCUAUGGGUUGUAAACUGCUUUUGUUUGGGAAGAAACCCCUUUUGCGAAAGGGACUGACGGUACCAGACGAAUAAGCACCGGCUAACUCCGUGCCAGCAGCCGCGGUAAU